rnacentral:rRNA from 1 species
AUUGAACGCUGGCGGCAGGCUUAACACAUGCAAGUCGAACGAGUGGCGGACGGGUGAGUAAUGCUUGGGACUCUAGCUUAUGGAGGGGGAUAACUACGGGAAACUGUAGCUAAUACCGCGUACCAUAGGAUGAGCCCAAGUGGGCUUAGCUAUUUGGUGAGGUAAAGGCUCACCAAGCCGACGAUCGCUAGCUGGUCUGAGAGGAUGACCAGACACACUGGAACUGAGAGACGGCCCAGACUCCUACGGGAGGCAGCAGUGGGGAAUAUUGCGCAAUGGGGGCAACCUGACGCAGCCAUGCCGCGUGAAUGAAGAAGGCCGUCGGGUUGUAAAGGUCUGUCGGUAGCGAGGCGUUAACGACAGAAGAAGCACCGGCUAACGCCGUGCCAGCAGCCGCGGUAAGAC